AUCCAGUUGACGAGUCCCAAGUAGGAUGAAACGCGAGUCCUGAAU
rfam:Schistosoma rodhaini strain Burundi genome assembly, scaffold: SROB_scaffold0002066